rnacentral:lncRNA from 1 species
CAUGACUGCUUGAGAAGAAUAGAGAGAUUAUACCUAAAGGAUCACACUCAGGAGUUUUACAUGCUGUAAUGAAGCCAGAAUGUCAUCGUUUUCCAUCUCUGACCUAGGAUGUUAUGCUCAAUUCCAGAAUAAGUGACUUAC